rnacentral:rRNA from 1 species
AACGUGGGGAACCUGCCCCAUAGUCUGGGAUACCACUUGGAAACAGGUGCUAAUACCGGAUAAGAAAGCGGAUCGCAUGAUCAGCUUUUAAAAGGCGGCGUAAGCUGUCGCUAUGGGAUGGCCCCGCGGUGCAUUAGCUAGUUGGUAAGGUAAAGGCUUACCAAGGCGAUGAUGCAUAGCCGAGUUGUGAGACUGAUCGGCCACAUUGGGACUGAGACACGGCCCAAACUCCUACGGGAGGCAGCAGCU